AUAAUACUCUAUUGGUGUCAGAUGUAUUGUCAUUAGUUAGGUAAUCUAUUGUUGUUUGUAGAAACACUGCUCAUAUAUAAAGGAUAGAUCUUAGUUCAGGAGAUAUAAGGAAACAAGAUGGACAAACAUAUUAUCGUGGUGCUCGCCAUACUCGCGGUCGCAGCUGCACUGCCUCCCUACCAUGGAGAGGUCAUUUCUUACCACGGGAGUCCGCCAGCUCUAUACGCAGUAUCUGUUGGGCCCUCCGUACAUCCCAUACCGAUGAUACAACAGCCGAUUGUCAAGUAUCGGGUGAAGACGCACUAUCAAGUUGUUUGAAUAAAUAAUAUUCGUUAUUGACUGUUAAUGAAUUUAUUAUU